rnacentral:rRNA from 1 species
UGGGGAAUCUUGGACAAUGGGGGCAACCCUGAUCCAGCCAUGCCGCGUGAGUGAUGAAGGCCUUAGGGUCGUAAAGCUCUUUCGCCUGUGAAGAUAAUGACGGUAGCAGGUAAAGAAACCCCGGCUAACUCCGUGCCAGCAGCCGCGGUAAUACGGAGGGGGUUAGCGUUGUUCGGAAUUACUGGGCGUAAAGCGCGCGUAGGCGGACUGAUCAGUCAGGGGUGAAAUCCCGGGGGCUCAACCCCGGAACUGCCUUUGAUACUGUCAGUCUUGAGUCCGGAAGAGGCGAGUGGAAUACCGAGUGUAGAGGUGAAAUUCGUAGAUAUUCGGUGGAACACCAGUGGCGAAGGCGACUCGCUGGUCCGGUACUGACGCUGAGGUGCGAAAGUGUGGGGAGCAAACAGGAUUAGAUACCCUGGUAGUCCACACCGUAAACGAUGAAUGCCAGUCGUCGGGUAGCAUGCUAUUCGGUGACACACCUAACGGAUUAAGCAUUCCGCCUGGGAGUACGGUCGCAAGAUUAAAAGCUCAAA